GAGUGUUUGGGCGUACCCGACUUCUGCUGGCCUCCUGGAAGACAGUCUCGUCUGCUGGAUCAAGGACAACCCAGAGCCAGUGGUCUUCCGACUGUGCUGCCAAGGGGUGCACGUGAAGCUGGGGGUCAGUCCCCAGGAGCUGCAUUUCAACAAGCUGCUUCUGCCCAGGACUGACACCCAGACCCUGGUCCUGAGAAACGACAGCCCACUGCCCAUGGCAUGGCAUCUCAGUGGGCUGGACGACCGUGGAGAUGAGUUCUCUGCAUCGCAAGGCAGGGACAUCGUUGGGCCCCGCACAGACUUUGAGGUGAAGCUGAAUUUCAAGGCCGAGAAGAUUGGCAUCACAAAUAAGAUGAUCCAACUAGAGGUUUCAGAUACAGAAAACAUCCUGGGCAUUGUUCAGGCUGAAACCAUCAAAGUCUCUGUGGAGGUCUACAAUGUUAAUCUGAGCAUCAACAUGCCUGAAGGUCAGUGGAUGCCUCCCAGACAACACAGUCCGGGUGCAUUUUACUACCUUGGCAGGUGGGCAACCAAAGCCCUUGGGAGGGGAUGGCAUAGCAGGCAAGGGUGGCACAGAUCCAUAAAGCACAGACCUUGCAAGCUGCGUGAAGUAAAGCACUGUCAGGGCACCAACAGCCUUGAGUCUCUCCCUUCUGAACUUGGA